AAGGCAUGGUGAGGGCACUUUUGAAGCAUCUCUUUGAAUCUCUCCUAACUCUCAAAAAUAUAUUAUCCUUCUAACUGAGUAAAAGAAGCAAUGUCAUUUUCUAUGCUU